CUAUUGGAGGCGAUACUUCUACGCACUGAAAAGACAACAGGAGCCGUCUGCGUAGCUACGGUUGGCCACUGUAUGAUUGCUAGAAGAGCUUCGAGGGUCGUUAAGACAGGGACCGUUUCAUAUACCGCUUUCAGUCGUAUCCGGAAAAUGCGCCAUUUGCUCCCGUCGAGAAACGCGUAUAUUCGCAAAGCGGAAAAAUUUGUUCCUAAUUUAUUCCAGUGAUCUACCCGACAGGCUGGAAGAACGUGUGAUACACUGAAAUAAGAAACAGCUACGCAAGCAUAGAGGUAGUUAUAGGGAUGGUUUGAUCCAGUCGUUCGCUGACGAUAUUCAGUGCUGUUGGUGGCCACCUACACAAGCAGGCUCUCACACGUGCAACGGAAGUGGCCUGGCGGACUAAUUCAGGCUGUACCGAUAGAUGUCCAUCGGACGCAAACAAAAAGAAAAGCUAUUCGCUUUACAUUUGGUAAGAGGCUUUGCCAGACGACGAUAAGGUUUUUGAGGGUUGGCUACGAACAUUCUUACCACAGAGUCUCUUUCCUGCUCUGUCUACGCGGCGACAUAAUGUCAAGAACCAGCUGUGGUUGAUAUCUGAGCUUUCCGCAAUAGCCAUCGGGUGGAGACGAGCGGUAAUAGCGCCUUGUAGACGUCAACGGAGGCCAGAGAGCAAAGUUACCAUGAGCGAUGAAUAAUAUUUGAAGUUUAGCGUCUAGGAGCUGGGUCUGGGCCGUGUCCUGUUCCCAAUCAAAUUGCUCAAUUUGAAAUAGUUUACGGUCAACGCUAACGAUAUGCUGGGCGAAAUAUCACAGUUGAGCCUUUCGGGUCAUAUGCUCUUCGUGAGGGUUAAAAUAUGGCGUGGUGUGUGCAUAUCAUCGGAUGCAUUAUGCUUUCCUUCAUAA